rnacentral:tRNA from 1 species
GCGGUGGUAGUUCAGCUGGUAGAACGUCUCCUUCCCAAGGAGAAGGUCGCCGGUUCAAAUCCGGUCCACCGCUCAA